AAUAUGACGUCAUUGGAUUUCGUAAUAGAUGAAAGUAUCACUAUUUCACUAAAGGACUGUGAUGACAAUUCAACUAAUCUUGUGCCAAAAGUAUGUGUCCUUAAGUCUCACGAUAUUACGCCAUCAGGAUCGAAUAAACACAGAAUUGUAUUACCGGAAGUGGAAACAAAAUUACAAGGAAGUUGUGAAAUAAGUACAGACCAUAAUGAUAUACAUAUUUUAUGCAGCUAUGAGCACGACCCAGGUGAAUCAGUGCCAACUUUUUCUCCAACAAGAUCAGAAUCUGUACAUUAUUGUGGACGCAGUAUCAGAGUCACUAGUCGCUGUAUCCAAUAAGUUCACUUCAUAUAAUAGCCUUUGCUCUUUCAUUGUGUAUGGAGAUUAUAUCAAACCAGGACUUUAUAAUGCUUAUGUCUCGGCCAAGACAAAAGAAAAUUACAAAACAGACAAGAAUUACACCAUAAAUUUCA
rnacentral:sRNA from 1 species